UUUUUUUUAUUUUAUACGUUGCGCGGAGCUCUGUUUUUUUCGUUUUUUUUUUUUCUUUUUGUCUUUGUUUCGCAAAGAUGCCAAUGAAGGAGAAUUGAUUUUGUACAGAUGUUAUGCGUGUUCAUAAUCGCUAUACAACCUCUACUCCAAUGAUGUGACACUAACCCUGGAAGCCUGUUUAAAUAACUUGGGCUCAAAAACUUUUAAUAUUCUGAGCCUAUCUAAUCAAUUGGGGCUCUUUAAAAAGUUCAACCCUGAGCCUAUCUAAUUAAUUGGGGCUCUUUAAAAUGUUCAACCCUGAGCCUAUCUAAUCAAUUGGGGCUCUUUAAAAAGUUCAACCCUGAGCCUAUCUAAUCAAUUGGGGCUCUUUAAAAAGUUCAACCCUGAGCCUAUCUAAUCAAUUGGGGCUCUUUAAAAAGUUCAACCCUGAGCCUAUCUAAUCAAUUGGGGCUCCUUUAAACAGUUCAACCCUGAGCCUAUCUAAUCAAUUGGGGCUCUUUAAAAAGUUCAACCCUGAGCCUAUCUAACCAAUUGGGGCUCUUUAAAAAGUUUAACUCUGAGCCCAUCUAAUCAAUUGGGGCUCUUUAAAAAUUCAACUCUGAGCCCAUCUAAUUAAUUGGGGCUCUUUAAAAAGUUCAACCCUGAGCCUAUCUAAUUAAUUGGGGCUCUU